CUCGUUAUGCAAGCAAUUCAUAUGAUAUUAUGUGUGCCUAGGAGCCACGGGAUCUAAGAUCCAGCUGAUGGAUCUAGAUUGGGUUCCUAUGAUGGACCCUUUUCAGUUGUACAGUUAGCUUGUAAAUCAUAUAUAUGGUGUUUGGACAUCCUUCGAUGGCUUUCAUGCCCAUAAGGAGCCCGACACUUAUAUGUAUAUUAUUUUGUCGAAGAUGGUUCUCAUCUCGAGAAUAAAAUCAAAACAACCCGAAUACAGAAUAAAAUGGAAGUAUUGAAGGCCUCAAUUACUAUGAGAGCAUAAGGGUUUGAUAACUUGUUUUCAAAACAUCAUUUCUGUAUAUUUUGCUUAUAAUUGAAUUUUUAUACAAAUCAAACCCUUUGUAUAUAGGUGCAAACAAGACAUAGCACUACUUCCAAAUGAUGCACCUAGGCCCAAUAAAUUGUACACACACACAUACUUUCAAAUAAUUAGGGAAUUGAAAAGACGCGAUAACCAUGUUUUCACAGAAGUUGGGGGGUGCCUAACACCUUCCCCCCGCUUAAGCAAGCCACUGAAACCUAUGAAUCUCGGUUUCUAAGGCCUGUUAAAUAGAGUCCAAUAAUUGGGCAUUUGCGUAACCCUUUUCAAAUUCAGUUGAGUUGGUAAAACCAUUUCACUAUUACUAACUGGCGACUCUGAAUUUUCAAAUUGUCGACAUUUUAUGUCGGACUCUUUUUCAAACUCGCCCUUUCAAAUAAAAUUCAAAACAUAGUAAACAUAAAGGGUAGAAAGACUAAAAGAGGAAUUCCAACGAAAGAAAAUUUUUCCCGACAUCAACAGGUGACGAUUCUGCUGGGGACAGUAGAAGGCUUAAGCCGCAUUUCAAUCUUUUCAAAAACCCUUCUUAUUUGCUUGUGUGUGAAUGUUGUCUUUAUAUUGAAUGGAUGUAAAUGAAUGCUUUAUUUACUGGACUUUAGUGCCUCACACAAUCCAUGCGCUUUAUAUUAGUACUUUGCACAAUGUCUUCAUUUUAUACAGUGAGAUAAGAUGUAUGAGAAUGUAUGUUGUGUGAUUCUUUCACCGGGAGGCAAACCCGUCGGUGUUUGAUUACUGGACUCAACGAAAAAUAAUCCUGUGAGGCUCAGGAAAGCCACCACUUAGAUCUGCUCCUAUUAAAAGAUCGGAUUAAUUUCCCCUCUAGUAAAUUAC
rnacentral:lncRNA from 1 species